rnacentral:rRNA from 1 species
GUGGGGAAUAUUGGGCAAUGGGCGCAAGCCUGACCCAGCAACGCCGCGUGAAGGAAGAAGGCUUUCGGGUUGUAAACUUCUUUUCUCAGGGACGAAUAGAUGACGGUACCUGAGGAAUAAGCCACGGCUAACUACGUGCCAGCAGCCGCGGUAAUACGUAGGUGGCAAGCGUUAUCCGGAUUUACUGGGUGUAAAGGGCGUGUAGCCGGGCUGACAAGUCAGGUGUGAAAUUCCGAGGCUCAACCUCGGAACUGCACUUGAAACUGUUGGUCUUGAGUAUCGGAGAGGCAGGCGGAAUUCCUAGUGUAGCGGUGAAAUGCGUAGAUAUUAGGAGGAACACCAGUGGCGAAGGCGGCCUGCUGGACGACAACUGACGGUGAGGCGCGAAAGCGUGGGGAGCAAACAGGA